rnacentral:rRNA from 1 species
CACGCGUACCCAUCCCGAACACGACCGUUAAGCCUUCCAGCGCCGAUGGUACUUGGACCGCAGGGUCCUGGGAGAGUAGGACGUCGCCAAGC